GAUGAACGCUGGCGGCGUGCCUAAUACAUGCAAGUCGAGCGAACAGACGAGGAGCUUGCUCCUCUGACGUUAGCGGCGGACGGGUGAGUAACACGUGGAUAACCUACCUAUAAGACUGGGAUAACUUCGGGAAACCGGAGCUAAUACCGGAUAAUAUAUUGAACCGCAUGGUUCAAUAGUGAAAGACGGUUUUGCUGUCACUUAUAGAUGGAUCCGCGCCGCAUUAGCUAGUUGGUAAGGUAACGGCUUACCAAGGCAACGAUGCGUAGCCGACCUGAGAGGGUGAUCGGCCACACUGGAACUGAGACACGGUCCAGACUCCUACGGGAGGCAGCAGUAGGCAAUCUUCCGCAAUGGGCGAAAGCCUGACGGAUCAACGCCGCGUGAGUGAUGAAGGUCUUCGGAUCGUAAAACUCUGUUAUUAGGGAAGAACAAAUGUGUAAGUAACUAUGCACGUCUUGACGGUACCUAAUCAGAAAGCCCCGGCUAACUACGUG
rnacentral:rRNA from 1 species